CACGCAGGCGGACUGUCAAGUCAGAUGUGAAAACCAGGGGCUCAACCCCUGGCCUGCAUUUGAAACUGACAGCCUUGAGUACCGGAGAGGAUGGCGGAAUUCCUGGUGUAGCGGUGAAAUGCGUAGAUAUCAGGAAGAACACCGGUGGCGAAGGCGGCCAUCUGGACGGAUACUGACGCUCAGGUGCGAAGGCUAGGGGAGCAAACAGGAUUAGAUACCCUGGUAGUCC
rnacentral:rRNA from 1 species